GACGAACGCUGGCGGCAUGCCUAAUACAUGCAAGUCGAGCGAACAGAUGAAGUGCUUGCACUUCUGACGUUAGCGGCGAACGGGUGAGUAACACGUAAGGAAUCUACCUAUAAGCGGGGGAUAACAUUCGGAAACGGGUGCUAAUACCGCAUAAUAUCCUCUUCCGCAUGGAAGAAGAUUGAAAGACGGCUCUGCUGUCACUUAUAGAUGACCUUGCGGUGCAUUAGUUAGUUGGUGGGGUAAUGGCCUAACAAGACGAUGAUGCAUAGCCGGCCGGCGAGGGUGAUCGGCCACAUGGGGACUAAGACACGGCCCAAACUCAUACGGGAGGCAGCAUUAGGGAAUCUUCCGCAAUGGGCGAAAGCCGGACGGAGCAAUGCCGCGUGAGUGAAGAAGGCCUUCGGGUCGUAAAACUCUGUUAUAAGAGAAGAACAAAUUGUAGAGUAACUGCUACAGUCUUGACGGUAUCUUAUCAGAAAGCCACGGCUAACUACGUGCCAGCAGCCGCCGUAA
rnacentral:rRNA from 1 species